CGAAAGACUAUGGUAGGGGAGCGUUCUGCAGGCGGAGAAGGCCAACUGGAAAGUUGACUGGAGCGUGCAGGAGUGAGAAUGCCGGCAUGAGUAGCGUAAAACAUGUGAGAACCAUGUUCAUCGAAGAUCUAAGGUUUCCGACGGAAGGUCAGUCCGCGUCGGGUUAGUCGGGCCUAAGCCGAGGCCGAAAGGCGUAGGUGAUGGAUAACUGGUUAAUAUUCCAGUACCGGAGUGUGGAGUUUAUUCGAGACCCUCUAGGGAAGGUGAGCCGCUGAGUGGAUUGCGGUGGCAAGUGGUUAAUGACCAUGAUGCCGUGGGGCAACCCAAGAAGUCACUGACACCGGGAGGCAAGAAAAGCCGAAUAAACGUUGAAGCACACCGACCGUACCACAAACCGACACAGGUAGAUAGGUUGAGAAAACCAAGAUGAACGGGAGAACCUUUGUUAAGGAACUAGGCAAAAAGGUCCCGUAACUUCGGGAGAAGGGACACCCCCGCGAGGGGGUCGCAGCGAAGAGGCUCUACCGACUGUUUACCAAAAACACAGGUCUCUGCAAACGCGAAAGCGGACGUAUAGGGGCUGACACCUGCCCAGUGCCGGAAGGUUAAGAGGAGAGGUUAGGGGMAACCCGAAGCUUUGAAUUGAAGCCCCGGUGAACGGCGGCCGUAACUAUAACGGUCCUAAGGUAGCGAAAUUCCUUGUCGGGUAAGUUCCGACCCGCACGAAAGGUGUAACGAGUGGAGCACUGUCUCAACAAGGGGCCCGGCGAAAUUGAAGUACGUGUAAAGAUGCGCGUUACCCGCAGCUGGACAAAAAGACCCUGUGGAGCUUUACUGUAGCCUGUCAUUGCGUUAGGAUCUUGCUUGUGUAGUAUAGCUGGGAGACGGGGAAGCCUGCUCGCUAGAGUGGGUGGAGUCAACAGUGAAAUACCAGCCUGGCGAUAUUUUGACCCUAACCGCGGUAUAACCAUAUCCGGGACAGUGGCAGGUGGGCAGUUUGACGUGGGGCGGUCGCCUACCUAAAAAGUAACGGAGGCGACCCAAAGGUUGGCUCAGGCGGAAUGGAAACCCGCUGAUGCGUGUAAAGGACAAAAGCCAGCUUGACUGCGAGGCCAACGAGCCGAGCAGAGACGAAAGUCGGGCUUAGUGAUCCUACGGCACUGAGUGGAAGGGCCGUAGCUUACCGGAUAAAAGCUACCCCGGGGAUAACAGGCUAGUCUUGCCCAAGAGUUCACAUCGACGGCAAGGCUCGGCACCUUGAUGUCGGCUCAUCGCAUCCUGGGGCUGGAUAAGGUCCCAAGGGUUGGGCUGUUCGCCCAUUAAAGCGGUACGUGAGCUGGG
rnacentral:rRNA from 1 species